UUCGAGCGUCAUAAUGACCAAAUCACCCUUGUGGUGGACUUGGAGUUGGCCUGACUGGCCUCUCUUAAAAUCAGUGGCGGUGCUCUUAAAGCUCUACGCGUAGUAAUUUUCUCGCUAUAGGGUCUUGAUUGUACUUGCCAACAACCCCAACUUAUCAUAAGGUUGACCUCGGAUCAGGUAGGGAUACCCGCUGAACUUAA
rnacentral:misc_RNA from 1 species